AGGCAAGUUCAAGUGCAGAAAGUUCUGACUUUCUGGAGGAGGGGUGAGGCUGAGGAAAUAAUACAGGGAGAAGAAGGAACAUGGACGGUCCAUACUCAACAGCACUUUUGUGCUCAUUCCGGACAUGUGCAAAGUGUCAAAAAACUGGGCUUGCACGGAGCAGUGGUUCCAUUCUGGCUGACUCGGUGUUUGCAGUGACUGUUAGAACAUUGUUGCGAAUCAGGAGAAUCGGCUGAGCUUCGUACUCUUUCCUGAGCACGUGGUCCUGCGUCCCGGGAGAGCUUCCUGAGGGCAGUGAGGCCAAGCCAAGCACAUGCCUACUCAUGUUUGUCAUGCACAUGAUUUAAAGAAGGUGGUACCUAGAGCACCCUGAGCCUGUGCUAAGCGGUGCCACAUGCCCUCCUGGCCCUGAAAGAACCCUGAGAGGUGAAUUGUUAUGGGCUCAGGGACCCACAGACAACAGACAUAGCUAGGCAGGAAUGGACAUAAGGAGACGUCAGAGUAUGCACAUGCGGGGUGGGGGUAAAGUGGGGGACCAUUAGAGCAAGGCCCAGGAGCCUGGGCCUUCUACAUCCUGGUCCAGGCAAUAUAGGCCUAAGAAAGCAGGGGAGCUCCUUCCCCUUGACUUGGAAAGGCUUCUCAGGGGAAGCUGGGGGAUGGAAAAAUCAGUGGGAAGUGGGGGUCACACGUGCGGCACCACAUAGAGGGAACAAAACCUGAAGUGGCACAGAUGAUGUGGGCCCUCUGGGUAAGUACAGACGUGAGACCAUGGAGGGGUAUCCUGGGGCCUGGGGAACAAGACAGGUGAUAUUAGUGAAAGAUGAGGGAGAAGGUGUGACAGUGCAGAAUGUAACAAAUUGUCACACAUGGGCCUGAAUGUUCCAUGUGGAUCUUCGCAGAUCCUGAGGUCAGUUCCCAAAGAAGAAUGUUGGUGAGUCCAGUGCAGCCAGGCAGCUAGUCCACUGCCCAACCACAGGCAGUGGCUGGGGCUAUGCCUGGAGAAUGAGGGAGUGGGUGGAAUUGUUCAGAAAUUCUGGCUUGGAGGGUGGUGAGGGGUAACAUCCAGAGGUUGGGGCAGACUGGAGGUAGAGUUUCUGCACAUAAAGAUAAAGACCCAGGGGCCAUCAGGGUCAGGGAAGAAGUUCAACUUUGGGCCUAGGUGAGCAGGCUCAGACCACACAGGACCAGAAAAGAAGAGAACCCGGGGCUGACGCACACAGGCAACAAGGAGAGGCUGAGAAAGCCAUGGGACUUCACACCAUGUGCCUAUUCAGCUGCAUUCCCACCAAAGUCCAUACAAAGGAGUGCUAAGUGAGCACCCUGUGGUAAUGGGUCCCCCUAGCAUCCUGACACUGUCUGGUGGACCUGGAAAAAUUGGACUGUGAACAGUAAAGGCAGUAGAGUUCAAGCAGAGUUAGCAUAUAUUUAUCGACAACAGGCCAUAAGAAACAUCCCUGGAAAGACAGGAAGGGUUUGUGUCAGGGGCGAGAUGGGUGGGGGUGGGGGGCAGCAGCAAUGCCUCCCGUGCCCCCAUCACACCCCCUUGGCCCUCAUCUGCUUUGAGGGCAGCUCUGGUGGCAGAGGUUCCUUUAACUGACACCAUCCCAGCUCAAGUUCACAACCCCCUGAGGCCGAGGGAGCCCCCUGGGCCCACAUGUGAAUGCAGGCGGGCCCUCAGCACCGCCAGGAACAAUCUUCAGCCCAUGGGGAUGGGAGCCAGCAGAUGAAUGCUCGGCUCCUGCCCAUCACGGUCAGUUCUUGGAAGGCAUGCCGCUGCCAUUCCCAGGAUGUCCCCAGGGAAUCUACCCUGCUGCCCUCAGCAGUGACCUUAGGCUGGUUUUUCCUUCAUCCUGUCUCACUCUUUGCGCCCUUUUUUCCCUUCCCAGAUCACUUCCCAAGUCCUAGGAUCUGCACCCAAGUCCCUGUCCUAGGCUCUGCUUCUGGAAGAAUCAGAAAGGGAAGUUUAAGAAUAUAGGGGUGGUCUGUGAUGUUAAAUGCCACCAACAGCUCAAGAAGAAUGAUGCGUAGGAAGAGCCAUUAGCAACAGGGAGGUGGUGCAGGUUGUUGCAGGGACACAACCACUGGAGCAUAGGGCUGGGCCCGGUACCCCUGGCUGCAACCCCAGUGUGCAGAUUCGGCCCCUGUUCUGGGCAACCCUUACCACAGGGCACACACCUCCCUCAGUCUCUGGAAGAGGUGCUCCCUGAACCAGAGUUUUCUGAAAGUUUUGUAGACAAGUUGAAUAAGGGGUUUUUCACUCCACUGUAAACUUGACCGGUUCCCUUUGGACAGUGUGUCUCCUCAGCCCCUCUCUCCAGCCACCACCAUCCCUCGUUCUGGAUGCCCGGGCCCUCUGCCCUGCUGGGUCCUGGGCAGCUCUGCUCUGCACAGCCGGGCUACCUCUCUGGGCAGCCAUCUCCCUGAUGCUGACAGGCCAGCCACAGAGUGAAGCUGAGAGGGAGUGCUGCUGUGGUCCGUGGGGCUCCCGCCUCAGUAAUGUGUCUCCUCCCACAGCCACUUUUUAUAGAGAAGACACGCCCUGAACAAGAGUCCGGGUGACCUAGUGCAUCCUUCCCCACAAGUCAGAGUGGAGGCCUUGGUGCAGCACACAAAGGGCAACAAACAACUUUUUCUGGAAGUCUGUUGCCCCAGUGUGUUCUCUGCUGGACUCAUAAAUGGCUGGAUUCACAGGAGGCCAGUAGGAGCUCUAAGUGCCCUGCUUUUUACUGGGCACAUCCACCCCCCUUGCACAUCCCUGCCAGCACUCAUUUCCCUAACAAGGGCUUAUAAGGCAGCAGUUAGUGCCAGCCCCAGGGCUCAGGGCCGACCGUGGGGGUGGGGGAGGCAGGCUCCUGUGUGUUCUCGGGUGCUUCCAGCCGGAGCGGGAGCAAGGCUGUGCACUGCAGGGCUGGGGGCGCCGCAGGGAUCCCCUCCCACACCAUACACCCCUCUCUCAUCCCUGGGCAGCUCCACCGAGAGUUCCAGAGCAGCAAGGGGCUUGGAUGCCCUUUACCCCCUCACCUGCUGAGAUAAUCACUUCAGAAAGGGCAACGACUUGCUGGUGCUGCUGGGCAAGUGAGGGACAAAGCCAGGACGAUGACCUGGGCUCUUUCCUCCCCUGCCCACUGCUGCCUCUGUGACAUCCACAAACCAGACAGGAGCCCCUGGGCACAUAUGCCCUAAGCUUUAGUCAUGGAUGCCAAACACAUCUCAUUUUAUGACAAGUGCUUUUAUCUGGAGGGAAUGAGGAGGGUGUGUGUGCAUGCGCGUGUGCUUGUGUGAGUGUGUGUGUGUCUGUGUGCACUGGGCAGAAUCCCAUGUUACUUACUCUUCUCAUAACCCUGGAAGACUUCUUGGAAGGGAGGUACUUAAACAGUCUUCCAAAUGGUAGACUUACUUUGUGGGCUGGUCAAGGAAGGGACCCCAGUGAUGGGAAGGGCAGGGACUGGACCUGAAAUCAGGGCUGAUGGAGUCGGAUGUCAGCUGGGGCCAAGCGGCUGUCCUAUGUAAGGCCUUGCGCUGGCUGCUGGAAAUCGCCAGAAGGCCGCAGCAGGGUCUCCGGGGUUUCUUUCGCCCAUGCCCUUGGCUCUUUUCCCAGAAGCUAAACCAGAGGUACUUUAACCUCCUCCUGCCAAACAACCAGUUGGGGAAGGAAAAGAAUAGAGCCAGCGACCAGCCACAGAGCUGCAGAGAGAGGCAGCCCCGUGUGGAGACACCAGCUGGCUUCUCUCUGGGCAGGAGGCCCCUUUUUCUUCUGGGUGGAGGCUAAGUGCCUUGUGAAAGCUGCCAGAUGCCUGGAAUCUCUGGAAACCGCAUGGGAAGGAAAUUGGAAACAGGAAUUGAAAAACUAAGGUGCAGAAACUUGCUCUGAUACAUCCUGGAAGCAAUCUAGCUGUCCAAUGUUACAGCGGCUGCUUAAAAACUAUGGUGCAUCAGUAUCCCUGACUUUAUCCAGCCGUAAGCAGCAAUUAUGACAGAACUUGCUUCUAGCAGAACAGCCAAAACCACCAUGGUGGGCACUUCGGGAGGCAAAGCACACCGAAGAGAGGACUUGGGCCACAGUGGAAUGAACUGACCGCCCUGGGUGAAGAAUAUGACUGCAGAUGUGCUGACAGUCAUUUCAUAAUCUUCAAAUUGUGGUUACAUUGCCUUUUUUAAAAGCAGAGUAUAAUAUUUAAAAGGACUCUUGAAGGAAAAGAGACAUUUCUUCACUUAACUUUCUAACCAGCAUCUUCUCUGUAUCCAUUAACUUCAAAUCUUUUCUUGACAUAUGUGAAGCUCAGAGUAAGUUCCAGAGCUUCUUUUGAGCUUGCACAGCUCUUCAAAGGGUGAUAGUAUUCAGACUCACUGCCUAACUUGGUUUCCUUAAAAGGUGACAUGCACGUGGUAGUUAAAUCUGUAAGAACAAAAGCCUCUCCUUGGAGCUGAAGUUGGGAAGCACCUCUUAGGGAAUGUAUAACUACGAACUAUUUGUUCUUCACUGUGCUGGGUGAAAGCGAGUUGUCUAAACCAUAACCAUGGAGCUUGACCAAUCUAUUGUAUAACUUCACCAAAGAAGGAUUAAACACAGAAAUCCAAACUCAUUAUUUCUUGGUACG